UAUGUCCAUAUCAUGUUGAAACACCAGUUCCUGUAUGAUUGCUGAAGCUAAGCAAUAUUGAGCCUGGUCAGUACCCAGAUGAGUGACCACUUGGGAAUAUCAGGUGCUGUAA